rnacentral:tRNA from 1 species
CCUUAGAUGGCUGAAGGCAAGCAUUGGUCUCUUAAACCAUUUUAUAGUAAAUUAGCACUUACUUCUAAUGA